AUGUGUUGCGUGCUGCGUACUAUAUACAACAAACUAUGUUUCCAACCUUUCUAACCUUUUCGGAAUACUCUAUGAAGAUAUGUUUAAAUGUUUUUUAUUAAUAUUAGAUAAAAUUCUUUAACUAUCAUAAAAUUAUUUUUUUUUUGUUAUUAAAUCAUAUCUGUAUUUAAUGUUGAUAGGAAAAUGAAUCAUGAUUCAUAUUAUUAUGCUUCGUCAUAUCAAGACGAGGACGAAGAUUUUGAUUAUUGGAGUAAAAAUGAAAUGAGAUGCUUUGCUGAUCUCUUUAAUUUGUGACCAUCCUUAUUUAUGUAUUAACUGAUUUUAAAGAUAGCCUCAAAAAACAGAAUGCUUGGGUAGAAAUAUGGAAGAUUGUCAAUAUAGAUGGAUGCGACUGAGGGAACGCUAUUCACAUGAAAAAAAAACAAGAAAAAACAACCACCGGAAGUGGAGCAUCAAAAAGAAAAAUAUUUGAAUUUUUUGACAAUAUGCAAUUCCUAGAACGAUUUGUUAAAAGGAAAAAAACGAUGACCAACAUAUACAACAUGCAAAACAAAAGUGUAUUUCCGGUAAUAGGAUCUUCCAAUCUACAAAAGUAUAUAACACAAAUUUUGGCUCACACGAUGAAAAAGAAAAUAAUUUAUCUUCUCUAAAUGUGACUACUUUAAAUAAACUACCAUUAAUAAAAAGCAUCGUAGAUUUAACAAUUUCUUUGUUUUUAGUAAUGACUCUUUAAGUCCGGAUUUGCACUCAAAUGUAUCUGGCAGCUCUUCAACAUCUGCAGUAAGUGUCUCUGGACAUACGCGGGACAAAGAUUUAAUUGGAAAACGAAUAAAGUCAAAAGGAAAACAUCCCAGCCGGAUGUUCUAGAAAAUGCCAUUGAUAAAGUUACUUCUUUAUUAGAGAACAGAUGUGUUUCAGUUUCUUCAUCUCCGUCAUCUCUAAAGCCGAAAAUGGAAGAAGAUAUGGCAUUUUGUCAA